UACAGAGGUCUCAAGCGUUGUUCGGAUUCAUUGGGCGUAAAGAGCUCGUAGGCGGUCUGUUACGUCUGCUGUGAAAACCCAGGGCUUAACCCUGGGCUUGCAGUGGAUACGGGCAGACUAGAGGCAGGUAGGGGAGAAUGGAAUUCCCGGUGUAGCGGUGAAAUGCGCAGAUAUCGGGAGGAACACCGGUGGCGAAGGCGGUUCUCUGGGCCUGACCUGACGCUGAGGAGCGAAAGCGUGGGGAGCAAACAGG
rnacentral:rRNA from 1 species